UUUUUCUGUCUGCUGGGGAGAAGAGGGGGUGUGGGUGAGGGCUGGGAAGAGCUGCCACUGUGUCACCCUCCUCAAGGCCCUGGAGUGGGUGGGGACUGGGAGGGGGUGCUGGGGACUGCCUACCAUGAUCUGGGGCGCUGCUUCUUCCUCUUCCUCUCUUCUGGGCAACCUGGGGGGCAACAGGGUCACUGCAAGCGUCUUGCUUCCACAUGGCUCCCGUUCUCCCACUGUGGGGCUGGACGAGCCUUUAGAGCAGGGGUCUGAGUGGGGAGUGGGCAUCACGGGUGGGCCUGGGGGUGUCCUGGAUCCCCAUGAGCAAGCUGCUGGGUGUAGGUCUGUUGUGCAUAUUUGGCAGGGGAAUUGUCAACAAACUCUCAGGAGUGUGUGACCCCCAAAAAGGGUAAGAGGCUCUUUUGAUUUUUUUCUUCCACUAUCUGAUGCUACAGCGGGGAGCUGAGGCUUCUGCUCUCUUACUCUCCCAAACACCAGAGACUCGGAGCGGAGACUCAGGGCAGCCACUUCGUGCCUGUGGGGUUGUGCCGCUUUCAGUGAGUGUCAGUCUUACUGGGUCUUCCUUUAGGACAGAGAUUCCAGAAGCCAACUGUGUGAGCAAGUUCCCCCACAAAUCAUUUCUCUUCGGUGGGCAGGCCCUCAGCUUCUGCCCCUCUGAGGGUUGCAGCUGCCCGAGCCCGUGAAAUACCCCUCUGGGACUCAGACCUCAAGCUGUGCGACGCAGACGCCUCUUGGAGACCUGGACGGCCAUACCACAGGCUACCACCUUCACUGGGGAAUAGGGGUCCAGCCCUCCAGCUGCCGCCACCUUGACACCCUCAGGACACAGCUGUGUCUUCAACUAGGACACAAACAGGCAUCUCGGCUGAGGCCUGCCGCUGAGCUUCCUAACAAUCACAGGUCUGGGGCUCUGGACAGUAAUGCUUACAGCACCCCAUCACGGGAUUUGAACCCAGGCUGUCUGAUUCCGGAGUCGCCGACUGUCUCUUAACUACCUGGGUGUUCUCCCUGGGCCAGUCUGGGUUUCCUUCAUCCCAGGAUUCCUUGGAGGCCUUGGGAGAGGUGUGCUAGCUCUCCCUGCAAGUGUCUCUGUGGGAAAAGGCAAGGAGCGAGAAUGAGCACGAGCAGGAGGAGGGG